rnacentral:rRNA from 1 species
GACGAAGGAUUCAAGCGUUGUCCGGAUUUACUGGGUUUAAAGGGUGCGUAGGCGGAAAUAUAAGUCAGUGGUGAAAUCCCGCAGCUCAACUGCGGAACUGCCAUUGAAACUGCAUUUCUUGAAUACGGUUGAGGUAGAUGGAAUGUAACAUGUAGCGGUGAAAUGCUUAGAUAUGUUACAGAACUCCGAUUGCGAAGGCAGUCUACUAAGCCGUUAUUGACGCUGAGGCACGAAAGCGUGGGGAGCAAAC